GAUGAACGCUAGCGACAGGCCUAACACAUGCAAGUCGAGGGGCAGCACGAGGUAGCAAUACUGAGGUGGCGACCGGCGCACGGGUGAGUAACACGUAUGCAGCCUACCUGUAAGAGGGGAAUAACCCGGAGAAAUUCGGACUAAUACCGCAUAACACUGCCAUACCGCAUGGUAUAGCAGUUAAACAUUUAUGGUUUACAGAUGGGCAUGCGUAUGAUUAGAUAGCUGGUGAGGUAACGGCUCACCAAGUCAACGAUCAUUAGGGGUUCUGAGAGGAAGGUCCCCCACACUGGUACUGAGACACGGACCAGACUCCUACGGGAGGCAGCAGUGAGGAAUAUUGGUCAAUGGGCGAGAGCCUGAACCAGCCAAGUCGCGUGAAGGAAGAAGGUUCUAUGGAUUGUAAACUUCUUUUGUAAGGGAAUAAAAAGAGUUACGUGUAACUUAUUGUAUGUACUUUACGAAUAAGGAUCGGCUAACUCCGUGCCAGCCGCCGCAGUAA
rnacentral:rRNA from 1 species